rnacentral:rRNA from 1 species
AGCGAACGCUGGCGGCAGGCCUAACACAUGCAAGUCGAACGAACUCUUCGGAGUUAGUGGCGGACGGGUGAGUAACACGUGGGAACGUGCCUUUAGGUUCGGAAUAACUCAGGGAAACUUGUGCUAAUACCGAAUGUGCCCUUCGGGGAAAGAUUUAUCGCCUUUAGAGCGGCCCGCGUCUGAUUAGCUAGUUGGUGAGGUAAAGGCUCACCAAGGCUACGAUCAGUAGCUGGUCUGAGAGGAUGACCAGCCACAUUGGGUCUGAGACACGGCCCAAACUCCUACGGGAGGCAGCAGUGGGGAAUCUUGCGCAAUGGGCGAAAGCCUGACGCAGCCAUGCCGCGUGGAUGAUGAAGGUCUUAGGAUUGUAAAAUCCUUUCACCGGUGAAGAUAAUGACUGUAGCCGGAAAAGAAGCCCCGGCUAAACUUCGGUGCCAGCAGCCGCGGUAAU